CUCAUGGAUCUCGCCGGGGCAGAUGAAGUGGACAUGGGUGUCCACGCCGCCGGCGGUCAGGAUCUUCCCGUUGCCGGAGAUCGCCUCGGUGCUCGGCCCGACCACGAAGCUUGUCGGCGUCACCGGGAUCGGCAGCGAGUUGCCGCGGGUGGAGCGGUCCGGCAUCUCGAAACGGUCACUCGGGAUGGGGUCCAUGGUCUCGGGGUUGUAGGCCUUGCCCAGGGCGGCGAUGCGUCCGUCGCGGAUGCCGACGUCGGCCUUGACCACACCCCACCAGUCGAGGACCAGUGCGCCGGUGAUGACGGUGUCCACGGGCCUGUGAUCCGUGUCCUCGCCCGUGACGCUCCUGCCGUCCCGGG
rnacentral:sRNA from 1 species